rnacentral:rRNA from 1 species
GUAUGUUACUUCUUCGGGGGUGGCCUCUACAGUUUAUCGGGCCAGCAUCAGUUUGGGCGGUAGGAGAAUUGCGUUGGAAUGUGGCACGGCUUCGGUUGUGUGUUAUAGCCUUCGUCGAUACUGCCAGCCUAGACUGAGGACUGCGGUUUAUACCUAGGAUGUUGGCAUAAUGAUCUUAAGUCGCCCCCCUUGAAACACGGACCAAAGAGUCAAAAUC